GAUGGCCUAGUGGUUAGAGCGUCGGCCUCGGAAGCGGGAGGCCGCGGGUUCAAAACCCGACGUAUCUUUCA